rnacentral:rRNA from 1 species
AUUGAACGCUAGCGGGAUGCUUUACACAUGCAAGUCGAACGAGUGGCGGACGGGUGAGUAAUAGAUCGGAACGUGCCCAGUAGAGGGGGAUGACUAGUCGAAAGAGUGGCUAAUAGCGCAUACUAUUUGAGCGGCCGAUAUCGGAUUAGCUAGUUGGUGGGGUAAAGGCUCACCAAGGCAACGAUCCAGCGCUGGUUGGAGAGGCAGACCAGCCACACGGGGACUGAGACACGGCCCAGACUCCUACGGGAGGCAGCAGUAGGGAAUUUUCGACAAUGGAGGAAAGUCUGAUCCAGCAAUCCCGCGUGUAUGAGAAGGCCUUCGGGUUGUAAAGUACUUUUGGCAGAGAAGCGGUAUCUGCACAGUAAGCCCCGGCUAACUACGUGCCAGCCGCCGCGGUAAUUC